UACAGAGGGGGCAAGCGUUAUUCGGAAUUAUUGGGCGUAAAGGGCGCGUAGGCGGCCUGGCAAGUGGAAGGUGAAAUCCCUCGGCUUAACCGAGGAACUGCCCUCCAAACUGCUUGGCUUGAGUCCGGGAGAGGUGAGUGGAAUUCCCAGUGUAGCGGUGAAAUGCGUAGAUAUUGGGAGGAACACCAGUGGCGAAGGCGAGUCUCUGGACAUUUCCUGACGCUGAGGCACGAAAGCCAGGGGAGCAAACGGG
rnacentral:rRNA from 1 species